rnacentral:rRNA from 1 species
CAGGCUGCAACCCGCCUGUAUGAAGUUGGAAUCGCUAGUAAUCGCGGAUCAGCAUGCCGCGGUGAAUACGUUCCCGGGCCUUGUACACACCGCCCGUCACACCAUGAGAGUCGGGAACACCCGAAGUCCGUAGCCUAACCGCAAGGGGGGCGCGGCCGAAGGUGGGUUCGAUAAUUGGGGUGAAGUCGUAACAAGGUAUC